rnacentral:rRNA from 1 species
AUUGCCCGCUGGCGGCAGGCCUAACAAAUGCAAGUCGAGCGAGCGGCGGACGGGUGAGUAAUGUAUGGGGACUGCACGAUAGAGGGGGAUAACUACUGGAAACGGUGGCUAAUACCGCAUACUAUCGGAUAACCCAUAUGGGAUUAGCUAGUAGGUAAGGGACUUGGUUACCGAGGCGACGAUCCCGAGCUGGUCGGAGAGGAAGAUCAGCAACACUGGAACUGAGACACGGCCCAGACUCCUACGGAGGUAGCAUUUGGGAAUAUGGCACAAGUGGCGCAAGCCUGAUGCAGCCAUGCCGCGUGUAUGAAUAAGGCCCUAGGGUUGUAAAGUACUUUCAGUCGGGAGGCGUUACCGACAGAAGAAGCACCGGCUAACUCCGUGCCAGCAGCCGCGGUAAUAC